rnacentral:rRNA from 1 species
GAUGAACGCUAGCGGCAGGCUUAAUACAUGCAAGUCGAGGGGUAGCAAGAUUGUAGCAAUACAAUUGUUGACGACCGGCAAACGGGUGCGGAACACGUACACAACCUUCCUACAAGUGGGGAAUAGCCCAGAGAAAUUUGGAUUAAUACCCCGUAACAUAGCGAUGUGGCAUCACAUUGCUAUUAUAGCUUCGGCGCUUGUUGAUGGGUGUGCGGCCGAUUAGCUAGUUGGCGGGGUAAGGGCCCACCAAGUCUACGAUGGGUAACUGGUCUGAGAGGAUGAUCAGUCACACUGGAACUGAGACACGGUCCAGACUCCUACGGGAGGCAGCAGUAGGGAAUAUUGCACAAUGGGGGAAACCCUGAUGCAGCAACGCCGCGUGAGUGAAGAAGGCCCUUGGGUUGUAAAGCUCUUUAGCGUGGGAAGAAGGUAGAUACGGUGAAUAGUCGUGUUUGCUGACGGUACCACGAGAAUAAGCACCGGCUAAUUUCGUGCCAGCCGCCGCUGUAACAC